rnacentral:tRNA from 1 species
GGGGAUAUACCUCAGUUGGUAGAGUACUUGCCUCACCAUGCAUGAGGCCCUGGGUUCUAUCCCCAGCACCACA